UACGGAGGGAGCUAGCGUUGUUCGGAUUUACUGGGCGUAAAGAGCGCGCAGGCGGUCGUUCAAGUCGAGUGUGAAAGCCCCCGGCUCAACUGGGGAGGGUCACUCGAUACUGAUCGACUUGAAGGCAGGAGAGGGAAGCGGAAUUCCCGGUGUAGUGGUGAAAUGCGUAGAUAUCGGGAGGAACACCAGUGGCGAAGGCGGCUUCCUGGCCUGUUCUUGACGCUGAGGCGCGAAAGCUAGGGGAGCAAACGGG
rnacentral:rRNA from 1 species